UCCGGUUUGUCACCGGCAGUCUCAUUAGAGUGCCCAACUAAAUGUAGCAACUAAUGACAAGGGUUGCGCUCGUUGCGGGACUUAACCCAACAUCUCACGACACGAGCUGACGACAGCCAUGCAGCACCUGUGUUCCGAUUCCCUUUCGGGCACACCCACCUCUCAGCGGGCUCUCGGACAUGUCAAGGGUAGGUAAGGUGGGGAUGACGUGUGAGAGUACGUCC
rnacentral:misc_RNA from 1 species